rnacentral:rRNA from 1 species
AUUGAACGCUGGCGGAAUGCUUUACACAUGCAAGUCGAACGGUAGAGGGGGCAACCCCUCGAGAGUGGCGAACGGGUGAGUAAUAUAUCGGAACGUGCCCAGUCGUGGGGGAUAACGUAGCGAAAGUUACGCUAAUACCGCAUACGAUCUAAGGAUGAAAGCGGGGGAUCGCAAGACCUCGCGCGAUUGGAGCGGCCGAUAUCAGAUUAGGUAGUUGGUGGGGUAAAGGCUCACCAAGCCAACGAUCUGUAGCUGGUCUGAGAGGACGACCAGCCACACUGGAACGGGGACAAGGUCCAGACUCCUACGGGAGGCAGCAGUGGGGAAUUUUGGACAAUGGACGCAAGUCUGAUCCAGCCAUUCCGCGUGCAGGAUGAAGGCCCUCGGGUUGUAAACUGCUUUUGUACGGAACGAAAAGGUCUCUCUUAAUACGGGGGACUCAUGACGGUACCGUAAGAAUAAGCACCGGCUAACUACGUGCCAGCCGCCGCGGUAA